rnacentral:rRNA from 1 species
GAUGAACGCUGGCGGUAUGCUUAACACAUGCAAGUCGAACGGACUCUUCGGCGUUAGUGGCGGAAGGGCGAGUAAUGCGUGAGAAAAUGGCUUUGGGUUAGGGACAACCACUGGAAACGGUUGCUAUAUAAGGAUGUGCCGCGGGGUAUAAGUGAAAUUGCCUGAAGAUGAGCUUGCGUCUGAUUAGCUAGUUGGUGAGGUAGAGGCGCACCAAGGUAGCGAGCAGUCGCUGGUCUGAGAGGAUGACCAGCCACCCAGGGGCUGAGACCCGGCCCAGACUCCUGCGGGAGGCAGCAGGUGGGAAGUAUCCGCAAUGAGCGAAGGCCUGACGGAGCAAUACCGCGUGAGGGAAUAAGGCUCUUGGGUUGUAGACCUCGUUUCUUAGGUAAGAACAAGAUGACGGUACCGAAAGAAUCAGCACCGGCUAACUCCGUG